rnacentral:rRNA from 1 species
GGGUCAGUAGGUUGGUCGUGCUACCGGUACGUACUGGUCUCACUGAUUCCUCCUUCCUGAAGAACCGUAAUGCCAUUAAUUUGGUGUUGCGGGGAAACAGGACUGUUACUUUGAAAAAAUUAGAGUGUUUAAAGCAGGCUAACGCUUGAAUACAUUAGCAUGGAAUAAUGAAAUAGGACGAUCGAUCCUAUUUUGUUGGUUUCUAGGAUUGACGUA